rnacentral:other from 1 species
ACUUUUUACAAGGUAUCAGCACUUUUCUUUCAUUAGUGGGCAAGGAAGGAUGAAAACUACAAAACAGCAGUAGACUUUUAAAGUUUAAAUAGACAGGUCGAAAGCCUGAACUUGCUUUUCCAUUUUAGCUUGUUCUUCCAAAGAGGCACUUGUUUGCUUGCUUCACUGAUCAUCAGCAAGGGUAAGUUGGAAAGUUUUU